rnacentral:tRNA from 1 species
AAGCGAGAAGCAAACAUUGCAAUCAGUUUCGACCUGAUCAUAGAUAAUCAUUAAUUAUCCCCGCUUU